UUAGUUUGCUACUGUUUGAGCAAAUACUUCUUUUUAGGACACGUUGCUUUGUGUCUCUACUUCAACAACAAGCUGUCUGUGCUUUGUUUGAGAUGUUUCAAAUAUUGAUUUUGUCUCUCAAUGAUUCUCAGGAUUAACUAUUAGACAAAAGUAUUUGGUCACGUGAUCGCUGCACCUUCAGAAUGUGAAAACGGAAGUUAGUAUUAUAGAUUCUCUUCUUCGGGGAAGCCUUUCUACAAGAUGUCGAGGUGUCCCUGAUGGCUCAACAUCUCUGUUCUAGUUGAUCCCAAAGGUGUUUGACGGGCUUGAGGCAAAAAGCAGACAAGACCCUGGAGUGGUGUAUAGAGACAGACAAUCAAUCGCACUCACCAUGACUGAGCGGGAACUGAACCCCCCGUUGCCUGCAUGGAAGUCUGGCAAGUGAACCACAACAGUGCAGAUUCAAUGUAUCCUUUCUCUUCAAAUUGUAGUCCCUACAAAGCAAUGGAACUGACCCACUACCUUUAUAUAGGUUUCUUAGAAGUGCUCUACACUGUAAACAUUUAUUUAGGUUUUUUGUUACCUCAACUCAUUUUUCUGAAUCAGUCCAACUAAAAGUACCUAAAUCAUUGGGUCAACUUGAAAUAUUAAGUUCUAAUAUUGUCAUUUCAUCAGUUAAAUCAGAGCAGUCCAGGUAACACAGAUUGCUGGGUUGACUCAAUUAAAAAGGAGUAGCCCCUGCUAAACUCCCCGGGUCACCCCACACAAGCCAACAUGUCAAGACCAGUCAAGACUGCCCCCUGGAAAGGAGGCCAUUUUCUUUUACAAAGAGCAGACAGAGUAUCAGGAGUCGACAUAAAGAGGGUCGUGGGAAACUGGAGCUUAUCCCAGCGGUCUUGGAGCGGAAAACAUGGACUGGUCGCCAGUCAAUCAAAGGUUCCUAAGAGAACAAUGGCCUCCAUCAUCUUUAAAUGAAAGACGUUUAAGAAGACCAGACAUCACUGUGACCGAGCUCCAGAGAUGCAGUCGGGAGAUGGGAGAAAGUUCGAGAAAGUCAACCAUCACUGCAGCCCUCCACCAGUCAGGGCCUUAUGGCAGAGUGGCCCGACGGAAGCCUCUCCUCAGUGCAAGACACAUGAAAGCCUGCAUGGAGUUUGCUAAAAAAAACACCUGAAGGACUCCACGAUGGUGAGAAAUAAGAUUCUCUGAUCUGAUGAGACCAAGAUAGAACUUUUUGGCCUUAAUUUUAAGCGGUAUGUGUGGAGAAAACCAGGCACUGCUCAUCAGUCCCAACAGUGAAGCAUGGUGGUGGCAGCAUCAUGCUGUGGGUGUGUUUUUCAGCUGCUGGGACAGGGAGACGGGUUGCAAUCGAAGGAAAGAUGAAUACGGCCAAGUACAGGGAUAUCCUUGACAAAACCCUUCUCCAGAGUGCUCAGGACCUCAGACUGGGCCGAAGGUCCACCUUCCAACAAGACAAUGACCUUAAGCACACAGCUAAAAUAACAAAGGAGUGGCUUCAGAACAACUCCGUGACUGUUCUUGAAUUGCCCAGCCAGACCCCUGAUUUAAACCCAACUGAGCAUCUCUGAAGAGACCUGAAAAUGGCUGUUCACAAACGUUCACUAUCCAACUUGGCAGAACUGGAGAGAAUCUGCAAGGAGGAAUGGCAGAGGAUCCCCAAAUCCAGGUGUGAAAAACCUGUUGCAUCAUUCCCAAAAAGACUCAUGGCUGUAUUAGCUCAGAAGAGUGCUUCUACUAAAUACUGAGCAAAGGGUCUGAAUUCUUAUGGCAAUGUGAUAUUUGUUUUUCUUUUUUAAUAAAGCUUCAAAGAUUUCAACAA